GGUUAAGCGACUAAGCGUACACGGUGGAUGCCCUGGCAGUCAGAGGCGAUGAAGGACGUGCUAAUCUGCGAAAAGCGCCGGCGAGGUGAUAUGAACCUUUGACCCGGCGAUGUCCGAAUGGGGAAACCCAGUGUGWUYCGWCACACUAUCGUUAACUGAAUACAUAGGUUAACGAGGCGAACCGGGGGAACUGAAACAUCUAAGUACCCCGAGGAAAAGAAAUCAACCGAGAUUCCCCCAGUAGCGGCGAGCGAACGGGGAGCAGCCCGGAGUCUKAAUCAGCUUGUGUGUUAGUGGAACGGUCUGGAAAGUCCGACGGUACAGGGUGAUAGUCCCGUACACGAAAAUGCACAGGYUGUGAACUCGAAGAGUAGGGCGGGACACGUGGUAUCCUGUCUGAAUAUGGGGGGACCAUCCUCCAAGGCUAAAUACUCCUGACUGACCGAUAGUGAACCAGUACCGUGAGGGAAAGGCGAAAAGAACCCCGGCGAGGGGAGUGAAAAAGAACCUGCCUUUGCAGUGCUCACACAGAUUGUCUGAUGAAAAAACAGCAGUAAAAAUCUCUGCAGGCUUGUAGCUCAGGUGGUUAGAGCGCACCCCUGAUAAGGGUGAGGUCGGUGGUUCAAGUCCACUCAGGCCUACCAAACUCCUUUUAAAGGAUGAGCGGUACAGAGAUUACAAACGAUGGGGCUAUAGCUCAGCUGGGAGAGCGCCUGCUUUGCACGCAGGAGGUCUGCGGUUCGAUCCCGCAUAGCUCCACCAUCUUUUACUGCGAACACAAGAAAACUUCAGAGU
rnacentral:rRNA from 1 species